rnacentral:rRNA from 1 species
UACGUAGGGCGCAAGCGUUAUCCGGAAUUAUUGGGCGUAAAGAGCGCGCAGGCGGCUGGUCAAGUCCGAUGUGAAAUCUCCCGGCUCAACUGGGAAACUGCAUCGGAAACUGAUCGGCUUGAAGGUGGGAGAGAGUAGUGGAAUUCCCGGUGUAGUGGUGAAAUGCGUAGAUAUCGGGAGGAACACCAGUGGCGAAGGCGACUACUUGGCCCAUUCUUGACGCUGAGGCGCGAAAGCUAGGGGAGCGAACGGG